AUGAUUUAAAGAAUUAUUCAAGAAUAUUUAUUUAAAGGAUAUUAUAACACAGAAGGAAUUGUUUUCAGAGAAAGAUAGAGAGAUAUAGAAAAAGGGAUGAAGAGAUCUUGUUGGAGAAUGGUGAUGGCCAGUGUGAAGAGGAAGAUUUUAUAUUGUAAUAUAAAGUGAGGAAUGGGAUGAAGAGAAUUAAAUAGGAAAAUAUCAAGAGAGAAUGAUGUAUAAGGGGAUGAAAGAGACUUGGUGCAAGGAUAAUGAUGAUCAAUUUACAAGAAGAUUGAUUAUUGUAAUAAGUGAAGAGAUAUAUAGGAUUGUAAAAGAAGAAAUAAAGUACUGUAAUAUAUAGUGAGGAAUGGGAUGAAGAGAAUUAAAUAGGAAAAUAUCAAGAGAGAAUGAUGAAUAAGGGGAUGAAAGAGACUUGGUGUAAGGAUGAUCAAUUUACAAGAAGAUUGAUUAUUGUAAUAAAUGAAGAGGUAUAUAGGAUUGUAAAAGAAGAAAUAAAGAGUGGAUGAUAUAUGGAUGAAGAGGUGCAUCAUAUUUCAAUUUCUAUGGUAUUAACUUCAAGUGUAACGUUAAGAAACACAUUAAUCAAGAAACUUACACGUGCUCAAAGUGAGGAUAGUUCGACAAACAUACUCCCAGAAGAUUUUUCUCUUCUGUAUCUUUUGAUCCAGAUAAGUAUUCCAAAUAAUAUCGA